GACGAACGCUGGCGGCGUGCUUAACCCAUGCAAGUCGAACGGUAAGGCCCUUCGGGGUACACGAGUGGCGAACGGGUGAGUAACACGUGGGUGACCUGCCCUGCACUUCGGGAUAAACCUGGGAAACUGGGUCUAAUACCGGAUAGGACCACUGCCUGCAUGGGUGGUGGUGGAAAGCUUUUGCGGUGUGGGAUGGGCCCGCGGCCUAUGAGCUUGUUGGUGGGGUGAUGGCCUACCAAGGCGACGACGGGUAGCCGGCCUGCGAGGGUGACCGGCCACACUGGGACUGAGAUACAGCCCAGACUCCUACGGGAGGCAGCAGUGGGGAAUAUUGCACAAUGGGCGCAAGCCUGAUGCAGCGACGCCGCGUGAGGGAUGACGGCCUUCGGGUUGUAAACCUCUUUCAGCACCGACGAAGCGCAAGUGACGGUAGGUGCAGAAGAAGGACCGGCCAACUACGUGCCAGCCGCCGCCGUAA
rnacentral:rRNA from 1 species